rnacentral:rRNA from 1 species
UACGUAGGGACCGAGCGUUGUCCGGAUUUAUUGGGCGUAAAGAGCGUGUAGGCGGCCUGGUAGGUCUGCUGUGAAAACUCGAGGCUCAACCUCGAGAUGUCGGCGGAAACCAUCUGGCUAGAGUCCGGAAGAGGAGAGUGGAAUUCCUGGUGUAGCGGUGAAAUGCGCAGAUAUCGGGAGGAACACCGGUGGCGAAGGCGGUUCUCUGGGCCUUACCUGACGCUGAGGAGCGAAAGCGUGGGGAGCGAACAGG